rnacentral:rRNA from 1 species
AGUAGCCGCGGUAAUUCCAGCUCCAAUAGCGUAUAUUAAAGUUGUUGCAGUUAAAAAACUCGUAGUUGAAUUUCGGGGUUAGCAGGUCGGUCGUGCCAAUGGUAUGCACUGGCCUUGCUGAUUCCUCCCUCUUGAUGAGCCGUAAUGCCAUUAAUUUGGUGUUGCGGGGAAUCAGGACUGUUACUUUGAAAAAAUUAGAGUGUUUAAAGCAGGCAAGCGCUUGAAUACAUUAGCAUGGAAUAAUGAAAUAGGACGUUUGAUCCUAUUUUGUUGGUUUCUAGGAUUGACGUAAUGAUUAAUAGGGAUAGUUGGGGGCAUUAGUAUUCAAUUGUCAGAGGUGAAAUUCUUGGAUUUAUUGAAGACUAACUACUGCGAAAGCAUUUGCCAAGGAUGUUUUCAUUAAUCAAGAACGAAAGUUAGGGGAUCGAAGACGAUCAGAUACCGUCGUAGUCUUAACCAUAAACUAUGCCGACUAGGGAUCGGAUGAUGUUAAUUUUUAAUGACUUAUUCGGCGCCUUAA